AUUUCUAUAGUUCACAGGCCCGAUGACUGGGUGUUCUUUCCCUUCUGUGAGAUGCGCCUCCCUCAAACCUUGUUACGACAUUGGCACAUUACCCGUCUGACA